UACAGAGGGGGCAAGCGUUGUUCGGAAUUACUGGGUGUAAAGGGCGCGUAGGCGGCCUGCUAAGUCGAACGUGAAAUCCCCGGGCUCAACCCGGGAACUGCGUCCGAUACUGGUAGGCUUGAAUUCGGGAGAGGGAUGCGGAAUUCCAGGUGUAGCGGUGAAAUGCGUAGAUAUCUGGAGGAACACCGGUGGCGAAGGCGGCAUCCUGGACCGACAUUGACGCUGAGGCGCGAAAGCCAGGGGAGCAAACGGG
rnacentral:rRNA from 1 species